GAGCCCUACCUCCCCUUUCCCUUUCCUCCCCACACCAAACCCUAGCUGCGUCACUCAUGUCUCUCUCUCCUCAUAACCACCGCAUUUUUGGCAAAGUUUCAGAUAAGAAAAAGUCUUUGACAGGUCUGUAUGGCCAUUUGAAGCAAAGCAUUUAUGAUUUCCACUCUAUUUCACCAAACGCCACCCAAACGCGUUUGGGGAUUUUAAGGAGCAAAGGAUCUUCAAGGUUCAUUCUCGACUCAAGGCUGCACCUGGAAGAGGUAAUCUUCUUUCCAUUUUAUUUUUCUUGUGUUUUUUCAGUUCUUUUGUUUAGCUAUCUGUGUUUAUGUGUUUAUAUGCUAAGUUUGGUUUAUGUUUAGUUAAAUAUGCUUCUGUGUUAGUUAAUUUAGUUCAUAUAGUUAAAGUAGUCUUUUGUAUGUUAAUUUUAGUUUAGUUGGUUUAGUCUUUAUAUUAAUUUAAGCUUAAUCUGUCUUAGUAUGUCCCAUGUGUUAGCUUAGCCUCUUUAAACUAAAGUAUGUUCUUAUGUGUUAGUUUUGUUCUAGUAAAACAUGUCUAUACACUGCCUUAAUCCAGUUUUGAUUAGUUUUUGAUCAUUAUGAAGUGGUAUUCAAUUCUAGAACUUAUUUGUGAAAUACCUAAUAAUCUGAUCCCUGCCUAUUAUUCCUUUAAUAUAUGAUGCAGUGUUUUUAUGGUCUUAUUGAGUUUAUGUGCUAUGUUAGAUGUAAUGUUAAAUGCAAGCUUGUUUUGUUCCAUAUUGUUUCUGUUAAAGUUAUUCUAUCUAGGGUGUUUAACUCCUACCCCAUGUCUUGCUAACUUAAGUCUCUUUUGACUAACGGAUUGAUGAUAUACCUAUAUGUUUCAAUCCUGUACAUUAGGGAUCAUGCUAAUCUUUGCCUAUUAUCUAAAUAUGAGCCUAUAUGAUCUACUACUGUGUUACUUGAUGAGUACUGAACUUGGUUUUGAUACCUAAGCCUACUAUGCAUGAUUAACAUGUAUUUGACUGUUUUGUUGACUGUUUGUGUUACCCUAUCACUCAUGAAUGCUAGACUUUACCUCUCUAAUCUAAAUGUACACUAGACAUGACUAUAAGCCUUUUGGUUUUGACAACAUGGCUAGCAUAUUCAACCCCUCUUUGAUUUGGACUAGUACGCAAACUAAUGUUAAUAUUUGAAGCAUGCCUACACUAGUUUAAAGUUGAAUCUAGGGCUAUUUAUGACCCAUAUUGUUUGGUGUACCACACUGUUGCUUCUGUGAUGUAUUGUUGGAGUCAAAAAAUGCUAUUGCUUUGUUUAGAGAUAUGUAGGGGAUAGUGGUAUGGAACCUCUUUAUUCACUAGACCAAAAAACUGUGUCUGUUGAGGCUGAGAUGACUUUGAUUUGAUUUGAAAAAAUGACUCAAACCCUUUGCAUGCUCCUUAAUGGCUCUGUUUAAAAUUGUGAAAGUCUAUUCUAUGUGUUUGGCUGUUGGUUAGUAGUAUGAGUCUCAGAAUAUGUUUUAAAAAAGGGUUAAAAGCAUUAUGAACUCAGUGUUAGCACCUUUGAACUUGUGUAAAUAAUCUUUUGAAUCUGGCAAAGCAUUUGAGAUUCCCUAUGGAUAAAACAUGCUAUGCAUAUACUAUAUGAUCACCCUUUGGACCUCUUCACACCCCCCCCCCCUCCGCCCCCGCUUUAACUGGGAGCAUUUUAUGAGUAAAGAGUGCAUCUUCACAUGAUACAUGUUUGCAUUUGUAGUAGACAUGACCCUGGAUUCUAAAAUGAAUUUUGUCAAAACAAAAGAUGGAGUGCUGCUGUUUGUUUUUGCCUAUCCGUGUCCAUGCUAAGUGUCUCAUAUCUAUAACUUUGUACAUUUGUUAGCCUCUGUUCACGUUCAUUAAACUAGGAGUUGGUCAUAAAAUAUGGACUUAAGUGGAAUUUGAAAAUGGAUAAAGCUCUAGCUUAAGGUAUUGUGUUUUGUACUAGCGAGCAUACUGAUAAGACCUGCUUGCAUUCUUUGUCUACUUGGGUUUAUGUCCAUGUUUUAAAAUAAUUCUAUAGCAUUUUCUUAAUUGAGUCUAUGUAUACUAUGUAUAUCUUGAGAUCUGUUUCGUAUAUGCUGCCCCUUUCCCGAACCUGUUAUGACUUUAUUUUUUGAUCAAAAUAUGAAACAUGCAUAAGUCUUAACAUAUGAUUGAUUUUGUGUGUGGAUAUGCUUGUGUACAAGCUAUACCCAGUCUCACAUAUACUUCAGAGUAUAUGAGUUUGGUAUACCUGUGUAUACAUGGCAUAUCACUCUUUACUUGGUUGUGAUAAUCUACUCUUCUUAAUUUUUGAGCCUUCCCUUCCUCUUCCUGUGGUGGGCCUCUAUGUGUACAAUAGGCUUAAUUCCGAAAUUCGGCCCAGUUUGGCUAUUCUUGUUUAGUCACUCAUUUGCGCCGUGAACUGUUUGUCUUAGCUGAAUUAAAACUUAAUCUUCUUACUUGUUUAUGUGAUGGUUUUGAGCCUUCCGUCUUUUGGAUUAUGAAAUUUUGCAUUACUAAAUAUCUAGACCCAUACUAAUCCUUAUCAUUUUGUUGUGAUUAUGUGACUUUCCUCGGGCCACUUGGGCUGUGUCCUUGCAUAAACCUGUUGGGCUAAAGGCCUAAUUAUCUUAGUCGAUCGAGUCCGUGUGAGAAAAAUGGCAAGUGAAGCUAAUAUAUAUUGAAGGCCCAACCAUGGGUGAAAAUAGUGAAGGCCUAGCUAUGGGUGAAAAUAGCAAACUGGUGGGCUUAGGUAGGCCCACCAGCCUAAACCUCCCUCUUAAAUUCAUUAUUUGUGUAAAAAUUAUAUUUGUAAAAACGCUUGAUGAUUAUUGGAACCCAUUAUGUAUGUUAGAACUUAGGAAAACACUCAGUAGUUUAGGUAAGUCGUCAAAACAAAUCAAUUUUCAAAUAUGGCUAAUAAUCU